rnacentral:rRNA from 1 species
AUCUGGAAAGAAUCUGGAGACAGGUGCUGCAUGGCUGUCGUCAGCUCGUGUCGUGAGAUGGUUGGGUUAACGUCCCGCAACGAGCGCAACCCUUGCCUUUAGUUGCCAGCAGUUCGGCUGGGCACUACUAAAGGGACUGCCGGUGUUAAACCGGAGGAAGGGUGGGGAUGACGUCAAGUCCUCAUGGCCUUUAUGACCAGGGCUACACACGUACUACAAUGGCCGAUACAAAGGGCAGCGACACUGCGAGGUGAAGCCAAUACCCGUAAAAUCGGUCUCAGUCCGGAUUGGAGUCUGCAACUCGACUCCAUGAAGUUGGAAUCGCUAGUAAUCGUGGAUCAGCAUGCCACGGUGAAUACGUUCCCGGGCCUU